rnacentral:rRNA from 1 species
GAAAGGCUCAUUAAAUCAGUUAUGGUUCCUUAGAUCGUACCCACAAAUACUUGGAUAACUGUGGUAAUUCUAGAGUAAUACGUGCAAACAGAGCUCCGACCGGAGACGGAAGGAGUGCUUUUAUUAGAUCAAAACCAAUCGGUGGCGGUCUCGUCAUCGUACAACUUGGUGACUCUGAAUAACUUUACGCUGAUCGCACGGUCACCGCACCGGCGACGCAUCUUUCAAAUGUCUGCCUUAUCAACUGUCGAUGGUAGGUUCUGCGCCUACCAUGGUCGUAACGGGUAACGGGGAAUCAGGGUUCGAUUCCGGAGAGGGAGCCUGAGAAACGGCUACCACAUCCAAGGAAGGCAGCAGGCGCGCAAAUUACCCACUCCCGGCACGGGGAGGUAGUGACGAAAAAUAACGAUACGGGACUCAUCCGAGGCCCCGUAAUCGGAAUGAGUACACUCUAAACCCUUUAACGAGGAUCAAUUGGAGGGCAAGUCUGGUGCCAGCAGCCGCGGUA